rnacentral:rRNA from 1 species
GCUGUCGUCAGCUCGUGUCGUGAGAUGUUGGGUUAAGUCCCGUAACGAGCGCAACCCUUAUCCUUAGUUGCCAGCAUGUGAUGGUGGGGACUCUAAGGAGACUGCCGGUGACAAACCGGAGGAAGGCGGGGAUGACGUCAAGUCAUCAUGGCCCUUACGGGUAGGGCUACACACGUGCUACAAUGGCCGAUACAGAGGGCGGCGAAGGGGCGACCUGGAGCAAAUCCUUAAAAGUCGGUCGUAGUCCGGAUUGGAGUCUGCAACUCGACUCCAUGAAGUCGGAAUCGCUAGUAAUCGCGAAUCAGCAUGUCGCGGUGAAUACGUUCCCGGGCCUUGUACACACCGCCCGUCACACCAUGGGAGUGGGUUGCACCAGAAGUAGAUAGUCUAACCUUCGGGGGGACGUUUACCACGGUGUGGUUCAUGACUGGGGUGAAGUCGUAACAAGGUAGCCGUAGGGGAACCUGCGGCUGGAUCACCUCCUUAC